rnacentral:rRNA from 1 species
AGUGAACGCUGGCGGCAGGCCUAAUACAUGCAAGUCGAACGGCAGCACAGCAGAGCUUGCUCUGUGGGUGGCGAGUGGCGGACGGGUGAGGAAUACAUGGGAAUCUGCCCAGUCGUGGGGGAUAACGUAGGGAAACUUACGCUAAUACCGCAUGCGCCCUUCGGGGGAAAGCCGGGGACCUUCGGGCCUGGCGCGAUUGGAUGAGCCCAUGUCGGAUUAGCUAGUUGGCGGGGUAAUGGCCCACCAAGGCGACGAUCCGUAGCUGGUCUGAGAGGAUGAUCAGCCACACUGGAACUGAGACACGGUCCAGACUCCUACGGGAGGCAGCAGUAGGGAAUAUUGGACAAUGGGCGCAAGCCUGAUCCAGCCAUGCCGCGUGAGUGAAGAAGGCCCUCGGGUUGUAAAGCUCUUUUGUCCGGAAGAAAGCGCCGGGUUAAUACCCUAGGUGUCCUGACGGUACCGGAAGAAUAAGCACCGGCUAACUUCGUGCCAGCAGCCGCGGUAA